rnacentral:lncRNA from 1 species
GUCUGAAGGCGCUCCGCUCCAGCCUGUUCUCUCUGCUCCCACAAACCCCGAGACCAGGUUCAACCGGGAGCUCGGCCAGCUCCUGAGCCAGGUCAAAUACCGGGAGAGCGUGCGGAGUCUCCACAGAAGUCUGUACUGUCAACUCCCUCAGACCAACGAGACGAGCUUCGCCAAAAGUCUGUCUGAAAUCACCAGCCAGGUGAAGUACAGAGACAGUGGGAGGAAGUGGGCGUCCUGCUGUUUGUACUCAAAGCUCCCUGAGACUCUGGAGACACUCCGAGCUAAAGAGCUGUCCCACAUCCAGAGCCAGGUGAAGUACAGACAGGUCCACAGCAGCAACAGCAGCAGUUUGUACCAUCAGCUCAGAGAGACCCCAGAGACACAGCUGUCCAGAGCUCUACAGGAGGUCUACAGCCAGGUGAAGUACCGGGAGCAGGUCCGCGGGACUCUGGCCCAGACGCUCUUCUCUGAGCUCCCACAGACGGCAGACACUCUGAGGGCCAAAGAGCAGGCGGAGAUCCACAGCGAGGUGCUGUACAGGCGGGACAGAGCGGAGCAGAGUCUGAGCCUGUUCUCGGUGCUGCCUCACACUCUCACCACUCAGUUCGUCAGAGACAUGGCCGACACGCACAGCCUGGUGAAGUACAGAGAGGCCAUGAAGAAGGACUGCAGUAACGCUCUGUACCACACACUUCCUGAAACUCUGGAGACGCAAAGAGUCAAAGAGGUCACUCAGCUGCAGAGCCAGGUGAAGUACGCUGAGGGGAAGAAGGUGCUGUCCCAGAGUCUGUACUCGCAGCUGCCGCAGACGGCCGAGACGCAGCAGGCCGCCAAGAUGGCCGACCUCAGCAGCGAAG